rnacentral:rRNA from 1 species
UACGAAGGGGGCUAGCGUUGUUCGGAAUUACUGGGCGUAAAGCGCACGUAGGCGGAUUACUAAGUCAGGGGUGAAAUCCCGGGGCUCAACCCCGGAACUGCCUUUGAUACUGAUAGUCUCGAGUCCGGAAGAGGUGAGUGGAAUUCCGAGUGUAGAGGUGAAAUUCGUAGAUAUUCGGAGGAACACCAGUGGCGAAGGCGGCUCACUGGUCCGGUACUGACGCUGAGGUGCGAAAGCGUGGGGAGCAAACAGG